rnacentral:piRNA from 1 species
AGAUAGAUAGAUGAUAGGUAC